rnacentral:rRNA from 1 species
GACGAACGCUGGCGGCGUGCUUAACACAUGCAAGUCGAACGGAAAGGCCCUGCUUUUGUGGGGUGCUCGAGUGGCGAACGGGUGAGUAACACGUGAGUAACCUGCCCUUGACUUUGGGAUAACUUCAGGAAACUGGGGCUAAUACCGGAUAGGAGCUCCUGCUGCAUGGUGGGGGAUGGAAAGUUUCGGCGGUUGGGGAUGGACUCGCGGCUUAUCAGCUUGUUGGUGGGGUAGUGGCUUACCAAGGCUUUGACGGGUAGCCGGCCUGGGAGGGUGACCGGCCACAUUGGGACUGAGAUACGGCCCAGACUCCUACGGGAGGCAGCAGUGGGGAAUAUUGCACAGUGGGCGGAAGCCUGAUGCAGCAACGCCGCGUGCGGGAUGACGGCCUUCGGGUUGUAAACCGCUUUCGCCUGUGACGAAGCGUGAGUGACGGUAAUGGGUAAAGAAGCACCGGCUAACUACGUG